AAGUUUAGGUUAUACUAAACCAAGGGCCUUCAAAGCCCUAAAUAGAGGCCCAUCUCUAACUUUU
rnacentral:tRNA from 1 species